rnacentral:tRNA from 1 species
UCCCCAUUCGUCCAACUGGCAGGACACCGGAGUCUGGUUCCGGAGAUCGAGGUUCGAAUCCUCGGUAGGGAGCUU